rnacentral:rRNA from 1 species
CAGCAGCCGCGGUAAUACGAGGGGGGCAAGCGUUGUUCGGAUUUAUUGGGCGUAAAGGGUGCGUAAGCGGUUUGAUAAGUCUUGUGUGAAAUCUUCGGGCUCAACCCGAAGUCUGCACGAGAAACUGUCGGGCUGGAGUAUGGGAGAGGUGAGUGGAAUUUCCGGUGUAGCGGUGAAAUGCGUAGAUAUCGGAAAGAACACCAACGGCGAAAGCACUCUGCUGGGCCGACACUGACACUGAGAGGCGAAAGCUAGGGGAGCAAAUGGGAUUAGAUACCCGCGUAGUCCCUGUCUCUUAUAC